rnacentral:rRNA from 1 species
UACGUAUGGUGCAAGCGUUAUCCGGAUUUACUGGGUGUAAAGGGAGCGCAGGCGGUGCGGCAAGUCUGAUGUGAAAGCCCGGGGCUCAACCCCGGUACUGCAUUGGAAACUGUCGUACUAGAGUGUCGGAAGGGUAAGUGGAAUUCCUAGUGUAGCGGUGAAAUGCGUAGAUAUUAGGAGGAACACCAGUGGCGAAGGCGGCUUACUGGACGAUAACUGACGCUGAGGCUCGAAAGCGUGGGGAGCAAACAGG